rnacentral:rRNA from 1 species
UACGAAGGGGGCGAGCGUUGUUCGGAUUUACUGGGCGUAAAGGGCGCGUAGGCGGCCCUCCUUGUCGCGUGUGAAAGCCCCGGGCUCAACCUGGGAAUUGCGCGCGAAACGGGGGGGCUUGAGUUCGGGAGAGGAGCGUGGAAUUCCCAGUGUAGAGGUGAAAUUCGUAGAUAUUGGGAAGAACACCGGUGGCGAAGGCGGCGCUCUGGACCGAGACUGACGCUGAGGCGCAAAAGCGUGGGGAGCAAACAGG